GACGAACGCUGGCGGCGUGCUUAACACAUGCAAGUCGAACGGCAAGGCCCUGCUUGUGUGGGGUUAUCGAGUGGCGAACGGGGGAGUAACACGUGAGUAACCUGCCCUUGACUUUGGUGUAACUUCAGGAAACUGGAGUUAAUACCAGAUAGGAUCUCCUGUUGCGUUGUGGGGGUUGGAAAUUUUCGGCUGGUGGGGAUGGACUCGCGGCUGAUCAGCUAGUUGGUGGGCGAGUUGCUUGCCAAGCCAUUGAAGGAUACCCGGCCUGAGAGGGUGACCGGCGACAUUGGGACUGAGAUAGGCACCAGACUCCUACGGGAGGCAGCAGGGGGGAAUAUUGCCCAAUGGGCGCAAGUCUGAUGAAGAAACGCCGGGGGUGGGAUGACGGCCUUCGGGUUGUAAACAGCUUUCGCCUGUGACGACGCGUGAGUGACGGUAAUGGGUAAAGAAGCACCGGCUAACUACGUG
rnacentral:rRNA from 1 species